rnacentral:rRNA from 1 species
GAGUCUUAACUGGGCGUUAAGUUGCAGGGUAUAGACCCGAAACCCGGUGAUCUAGCCAUGGGCAGGUUGAAGGUUGGGUAACACUAACUGGAGGACCGAACCGACUAAUGUUGAAAAAUUAGCGGAUGACUUGUGGCUGGGGGUGAAAGGCCAAUCAAACCGGGAGAUAGCUGGUUCUCCCCGAAAGCUAUUUAGGUAGCGCCUCGUGAAUUCAUCUCCGGGGGUAGAGCACUGUUUCGGCAAGGGGGUCAUCCCGACUUACCAACCCGAUGCAAACUGCGAAUACCGGAGAAUGUUAUCACGGGAGACACACGGCGGGUGCUAACGUCCGUCGUGAAGAGGGAAACAACCCAGACCGCCAGCUAAGGUCCCAAAGUCAUGGUUAAGUGGGAAACGAUGUGGGAAGGCCCAGACAGCCAGGAUGUUGGCUUAGAAGCAGCCAUCAUUUAAAGAAAGCGUAAUAGCUCACUGGUCGAGUCGGCCUGCGCGGAAGAUGUAACGGGGCUAAACCAUGCAC